rnacentral:rRNA from 1 species
CAGUCGCCGCGGGAAUACGGAGGGUGCAAGCGUUAAUCGGAAUUACUGGGCGUAAAGCGCACGCAGGCGGUUUGUUAAGUCAGAUGUGAAAUCCCCGAGCUUAACUUGGGAACUGCAUUUGAAACUGGCAAGCUAGAGUCUUGUAGAGGGGGGUAGAAUUCCAGGUGUAGCGGUGAAAUGCGUAGAGAUCUGGAGGAAUACCGGUGGCGAAGGCGGCCCCCUGGACAAAGACUGACGCUCAGGCGCGAAAGCGUGGGGAGCAAACAGGAUUAGAUACCCCGGUAGUCCCUGUCUCUUAUAC